rnacentral:rRNA from 1 species
UGGAGUAUCGAUACCGCGAGGGCCACACCCGUUCCCAUUCCGAAUACGGUAGUUAAGCCUCGCAGGGCCUAUGGUAGUAUACUCGUAAGGGUAUGUGAGAGUUGGUUGGUGCUCCAU